CCCAAGAGAGGCAGUGGAAUCUGCCACAUUGGAUGCUUUUUCUGAAAAAUCUGUUCCAGUCCCUCCAGCCUGUGUUCCCUGGGCAUCAGUCCGUAAUGUCAGUCAUCUUCCCUGGCCUUGAUGUCUGUUAACUCUUCAGCUAAAACUAAUGCAUUGGAUUGCAAGGAUGCCAGUCCUUCUGCUUAGCAGAUCCUUCAGCAGUGCUCAUGUCCAGUGUAAUAAAGGCCCGACCCAAAGCCUGUGUCAGAUUCUGUGCCAAGUUUAGCUACUUUGGGGCAGGCCUGCAGGAUGUAGAUGUAUGAUGGAGAUACAGAGCUAUGCCAAGUGUUUGCAUACAAGUGUUUAGACCAUAGUUCAUACUAUGUUACCUGAUCUGAAUUAGAUUACUGGGACAUACUAUAUGCAUUUUCUCCACUGAAGAGUGGCUGUUACAUCCUAACCACCACAUUCUGUCUCCUUUAAUUACCAACAUUCAUCUAUUUUUUUGCCUCUAACAGAAGACUGCAGCCCUCGCUACAAAGAAACUGUCAGUGAUCAUGCCAGUAUACGAGCACGAGGCUUGCUCCUGUCUAACAGCAAGUCUCCAAGUCUCCGCGCAUCCUGGGUCCUCUCUUUGUGUCGGCCAGCAUGGGUGGCAGCUGUGGUGGCAGAUUGGGGAUGGGCCAAGGUUAAGCAGCGAGGCCGCCGGCACCGUUCCAGCUCUCAGUUUGGCAUCCUUCAUGUGGGGAGGUCGUGCUCGCUCCUGUCCCCUGUUGAGUGCUGGGCUCCUCUCUUCCGCAUCAAUCCGUCCGUCGCUGUCAGGAUGGCGGCUUGCUCGGGGUGGGUAUGUAUGCAACGAAUGUCACACCACCCCGAGCGAAUCUGCAAAUCUAAUAAUCAAAACCAUCGCUGAUGCAUUAUUAAAAUUGUUUUGUUUUUCUUUCCUGCAAGCAAGAACUGGAGUAUUUGGAGGUGGGUAGAUAGUGCUAAAUUGUGUUUAUUGCACGUCUGUUGAAUAUAUAACACGUCUGUGCGACCUCCCUGAAGAGUUAUACAAGCCUUUGCACAACAUAAUAAUUCUUAAACACUUAGAAAUGCAUACAAAUACCCUGGUGCGACGACAGGAAUCUUAGACCUCACAUGCUGGGUGACGGAUGCUGCUGGGGGGGCCACAGCUGCCCAGAUCCACAGAAGACCUCUCUUGCUGUCCAGGAGCAAAUUGUUAAUGCAUUCUCCAGGAGCGACAGAAGAAUCAGCGAAACCCGGGAUGCUGCAGGUGGGCUGUAUCUCAGCAGAAUUUUGGGUUGUCAGAGCAAGGCUGGUGGAUGCAGACUGUGUCCUUUACACCCUGCCCUGUCCUGUUCUCUGCUGGUGCUGUGUGGUGAGGAGCGACCUCCUGCAGUCUGGCCUGGGGUAAGGCAUCGGGGUUUGUUCCUGCCUCCAGCUUCAUGGUCUGGGUCAACUGCACCCUUUUUCACGACUGUUAUUCUAGGAGAAAGUGCAUGUUCACCUGUGUGAAACCUGCAGCCUGUCCAUCUAAUGCAGUCCUUCAUCUCCGCAUAAUCGGUCUCAGAGCACAAAUGGCAGAAGGGCAGUGGCUUCAGCUGGUGGCAUCCUGGUUUUUGCUGCAGCAGUAGGCUCUGCUGGUUCUGGGUGGGUUUUGUGAACAGGGAGAUGUAGCAGGCCUGUGUGCAGACAACUCGUGUUUGUCUGGGCCAUGGCGGCAACACCUUUCUGCAAGAAGCCUCAGAUGUGUUCUUCAGUCUGCCAGGCAGUGUGCUUGGGAUCACAACUGUUUCCUCACGGAUGCCCACAAAACGUCAUCAUGCGAGAUGAUAUCUGUCAGCUGCUCUCACCUGGGUGAGAAAUGUGAAUUAUUGUGUGCUCUGCCUGCCUUGUAACACAUCAAGGUCUUGUUUCACUAGUGAUGUGAAUGGUAGAAACCAUAAAUACACUUCGUGGGGGGGAGAGGGAGG